GACGUAGGGCGCGAGCGUUUGUCCGGAUUUAUUGGGCGUAAAGAGCUCGUAGGCGGUUCAUUGCGUCAAUCGUGAAAUCCUGUGGCUCAACUACAGGCUUGCGGUUGAUACGGGUGGGCUGGAGUUCGGGAGAGGGAUGCGGAAUUCCAGGUGUAGCGGUGAAAUGCGUAGAUAUCUGGAGGAACACCGGUGGCGAAGGCGGCAUCCUGGACCGAUACUGACGCUGAGGAGCGAAAGCCAGGGGAGCAAACGGG
rnacentral:rRNA from 1 species